UACGGGGGGGGCAAGCGUUGUUCGGAAUUACUGGGCGUAAAGAGUGUGUAGGCGGUGCUCUAAGUUUGUCGUGAAAUCUCCCGGCUUAACUGGGAGGGUGCGGCGAAAACUGGAGUGCUAGAGGGUGGGAGAGGAAAGCGGAAUUCCUGGUGUAGCGGUGAAAUGCGUAGAUAUCAGGAGGAACACCUGCGGUGUAGACAGCUUUCUGGACCACUUCUGACGCUGAGACACGAAAGCGUGGGUAGCAAACAGG
rnacentral:rRNA from 1 species